CAUGCGUAAUGGAUUUUUCAUGGAAAAUAUUUUAUUUUCAUGAGCGUAAUAUUUAAGUUUUCAUAUGUAAUACUGCUUCACUCCCUCAGAAUCAUGACCAGUUUUACUCAGUACUUUUCUAUUUUAUUGUUCUUUUAUUUAUUUUCCAUUCUACUAACGUAUUGUAAUUUUUUAUCGUACGUUUGUGCUUUUCUUCAUUUCCUCAUGUCCUCUUAUGUUUUUAUGCAUUUUAUCUGGACUCUAGCAGCAUUUUCAGUGUGUUUUUGACAUUUCUUAGACUCUGCUUUCUAGUUACUGAAGCAGAUUUUCAGCACCAAGAACAAUUAUUGAUUUUUCUGCCUCAGAUGAUUUUAAAAAUGUUUUUUUUUCUUUUUUGGCUCAGAAAAACUCCACCUUCAGGACUUCAGUGUGAAAAGGUCGGCUCUAAAAACAAACCUCUUUUUUUUUGACAUUUCACUGAUUUUCUUUUGGCAAAACUCAGCAGACUUUAGUUGUAUUUCUUCUAAAUGUAGCAGUAAAGAGUGUUCCAGACCAACUGUUCUGCUGGUUUUAACAGAAACGUUCCUGUUGCUGAUAAAAGUCCACGUCUGGAUUCGUCGUCUUCGCUCACUUAGAUUAAUGAAACUGACUCAGAGCCAAAAAAUCCAUGCACCUGAAACAGCAGAACUCAUCUGCUGUUUCUGCUCUCAGAUGCUUCAGAUCUACGGCAGCUUCGUGUCCUUCACUGUCUCCUCCUAGAGAAACACUUCAGCCUGAUUUAAGACCAACAGGAGCAACAGAAAGAGCAUUCAUCCUGGGAAUAUUUCCAGAGUUCCAGGUCCUUGAAGUCCAUAGAGGUGGGUCCAGAUUUAUCACUUUUUAAUGGACUUUUUCCAUCAUUUCUGAGCCUCAGAACUUCAUCAGUCCAGCAGAUAGACAUGGCAUUACCAAAUUACCACAAAAAGACAUAAAAUCAGCACAAAAAGAGCCAAAACUAACCUGAAAGAUUCAAAUAUGCCAACAAAAACAUGGAAAAUCACCACAAAAAGGACCAAAAUUACCAUAAAACAGGUGAGAUUGAGAAAAAAACUCAAAUUCGGCACAAAGAACUUGAAAAAUUACCAACAAAACGGCCAAAAGUACCACAAAGACACAAAAUCACCCAAAAAAGAGCCAAAACUACCCUGAAAGGUUUAAAUAUGCCAACAUGGACUUCAAAGACCUGGAACUCUGGAAAUAUUCCCAGGAUGAAGGUAGAACUCUGAUCAUUAAUAAAGUUACUGGAGAUAAAGAACCAGAUGUUCUGAGGAGGUUGUUGGUGGAACGUUUCCAGAUUUAUUAAUGAAUAACCCGGAUCUUAAUCUGAGUUUACUGCAGUUAAACUCUCAUUUAAAUGUUUUAACAGAGGAAGAAGUUUAUUUUCAACCUGUAGAGGAUUCAGACUGAAGUUUAAUGAACAGAAACAUGUUGAGUGUUUGACUCUAAAGCUGUUAUUGACUUUCACUUUUCUCAGUUUUCCUUUGACCUCCAUCAACUCAUAAACCAGAGAUAAAUGAUCAGCUAUUGGUAGAACGUUUGCCUGAUCUUCUGUUGGCUUCUUUAAAUUCCUCUCACAGAUUUUAAAUCCUCAGUAGGUGGAGGUCUGCAGUAGAACAGAGGAGAUGAGGGUUAAACCUGGACAGACCUGAGUCAGCAGCAGCUCCAGGUCAGAGCUGAAUGAUCAGGUUUUAUAUGCAACAGGUCUCAGAACACGACACGUUCUCCAGAGAAACAGGGAAAAGUGUUGACUUAAAGCAGCUCUCUGUGCUGGAGAACGUUUUAAAUGAAACCUGACAGAACAGCAGAACUCUAAAUCCAGCAGAACACGUUGUGAUUGUAGAUUGAUCAUAGAAUAACGGAUGAGCUCGCUCUCAUUGAUUAUGUUAAUUCUCUGACAUCUCCUCCGAUCGACGGACAGGAAAUCAACCAGCAGCGAUCGGCUGAUUUACAUCCUGACAAACGGUGAAGACGGAUGAACUGCAGAUCUACAGACAGAAGAGAUGUUGGUUUAUAUGAGCUGCAAUAAAACCACCGUUAUGGUUCCAUAAAUCUGUAAAUGAUUAAUAAGAGGUGACUGAAUAUUGUGUUGGUGUUGACAACAGUUUGAAUAUUAAAUUCAUUUGAAGGAUGAAAUCAUGA